UUGGGAUCCCACUAUACAUUUCCAUCAGAUUGUAUUGAUUUGCAAGAAUUUCGUCUAGUUGAUAUGUAUUCGAGUGCCUCCACAGUGAGUUGAAAGAAAAAUUUUUGAUGUCAUUUAGUAAAGUAGACAGCACAUUGAGAGUUCUGAUAGCCACAACAGCAUUUGGGAUGGGUGUUGACAUUCCCAACAUUAGGUGGAUUGUUCAUUGGAGUCCUCCAAGACUCAUUGAAGAUUAUGUCCAAGAGACUGGGCGAGCUGGAAGAGAUGGCUUGACAGCAACUGCACUGCUUGUAUAUGGACAUCUGCACAGGACAGUUUCAUCCUCGAUGAAAAAUGAAGACAGUGCAGGAAAAGGAUGUGGUUGUUGUGA